AGGUGUCCCUGCCCCUGGCAGGGGGUGGGACUGGAUGGACUUUAAGGUCCCUUCCAGCCCAAACUGUUCCAUGGUACUCAGUACUCUCAGAAGUCCCAACUCUGCCAUAAGAAGAGUUUUUGUUCAUCACCCAAAAGGGCUCUGGAAAUGUGAACCCUGCUCACCCCAGUGCUGGGACACAAACCAGGACUCUCCAGCUGGGAAUGCAACCAGCAUUCCCAGCAAGAUCUACCAGCCCAGAGUCCCAGAGAACAGCUGACACCAGUACCAAGUGCUCCCUCCUCCUGCUCAAGGAGUUCUCCACAUCCCCAGAGCACCCUGAUGUGGCUCCUAAAAACCAGGACCUGGGAAAUUCCCGAUUCCCCACCAGACUUACCAUCAUGCUGUUCUGCUCCUGCCUCACCUCCUGCAGGAUGCUGCUGAAGAGUUCCAGGUAAUUCACAUUCUCCUGUAUCACAUCAGCAAAAUUUUCCCUGCAGGGGGAAAAAAAAAAAAAAAAAAGCAAAAGAUGACAAGAUUUCAGCCACCAAAAAUAACAUCAGAAGGUGAAAAAACCCACAAACCCAAAUCCAAACAACCCCAAUAAGCUGAUUUAUAGUCCUCUGCAGUGGUAGGAGAUACCUUGGUAGGAUAAGCAAGUCCAACCCCAACAUGACAUAGGAAAUAAAAGAAGAACAUUCAGGAAAUGAAUAGCACAGUGCUUUAGCUGGGAGUGGUGUGUGGAACUUGCUCAGGAAGAGAGAGUGGAGGUGGUUUCUGAGGAAAGAGUUCAACCAAAUUCCUGAUUUUUUUUAGAGCAUUAGUAACAUAUGGGCUCCUGAAGCUUAUUUUGGAAGGAUAAAAAUCCCACCUGGAUACUGAACCAGAUGGAUUGCUUAGGACUGACCCAAACUUCAGACCUCCACUGAAACUGAGACUUCUUGAAAUCACAGCAGUUUUAAGAAGGACUAAACAUGGCCUGAUUUAUCUGGGACUUGCCAGAGCAUUCCUACCCUUCCUGGGGAGCUGCCAGCGAGGACAGAGGGUGGGGAGGGGCGUUCCCUGAGGAGCCCUGCGGGAGCCACGCGGCUGCAGGAGUCGAGGCCGUCCCUUCCAGGCUGGAGCUGACCAGGGAUCGGGAGGAGCUCUGAGUCUGGAAGACACAAAUCCAUCGGCUGUGAGGGACAAAGGUUGGCAUUGUACCGAAGGAGGCUGAGCCUGACGGAUGAAACAAGGAGAGCACAGGUUAAGCUGGACUUAAAACGAGGAAACUCCACUGCUGUGAGGGUGACUGAGCACUGGCACAAGCUGCCCACAGAGGCUGUGGAGUCUCCAUCCUUGGAGAUACUUAAAAGCUGUCUGGAUGUGGUCCUGGGCAACCAGCUCUAGGUGACCCUGCUUGAGCAUGGACUGGGCUGGAGGACUUCCAGAAGUCAACCUCAACUCAUUCUGUGAGUCUCUGAGUAUAUUCCAUUUUUUUCUCAAUGUCAGGCACUGCACAGUAAAACUCCUGGAGUGGAACCAGCUCCCAGCCCGAGAAUGUUUUAUAAUGUAAAGGUACAGAACAGGGCUGUAAAACUUUAGGGAACUCCCUGAGACACACAUUUCCACGCCAACAGAGUCUGUGCUGGCAGCACAGUGACUGCUGUGGAUGAGUGGGGACUCACAUGGCAGCUCUCUGGCCCUGGAAGAGCCUGCUGUAAUCCUCCUUCAGGCCGAUCACGUAGUGAACCGCUUCUGCCCACACCUUGCGCAGCUGAGGGAUCGGCAGCUGGAUCUUACUGUCCUGGACUGAGCACAGAGAGACACAGGCAAACAACAACCCCAGGAAAGGACUUCAGUGCCUACAGCACCCCUCAUUCCUGCUGCAGGGGCCUGAGCUAAGGGGUCAAGCCAGGUAAGCUCUGCUCAGUUUUUAAGUGUGGAUAAGCUUUUCAUGUCACAGCUCCUCAGGGGUGUGACAACCUGCUACUGGGCAGUAAAACACCAGGAGGGUUUUUGUCCCAAAAACUCUGAGCAAAUUUAAUCACUCCAUUUAAUCAAUUGUCCCGACACCUUCCAAUCUUGUUUACGUUUCCUCCCAGACUCCUGAUGUAGAUGUUUAGGGGAAAAGAUGCAGGGCUUUGUGUGUUCCCCUAGAGAGAUGGGAACUGUCAGUACAUUGGGAUAUCAGUAAAUAUGUCAUAAGAUUCAGCACAAUGCAAGGAGUUUCACCAGACUAAAACAACCCAGAGCACAGGAAAAAAAAACAAUCAGAAUAAACCUGAGUGACACUAAAUGGAGAUGAGGAAAACCAGUGCAGACAGACCAGUGAAAAUAAAACUACUUAACAGCAACUGCAUGUCACAAGGCAUUUCCUUACAUGCAGUAUCUCAGCAGACAUCUCCUGUCCCCUGUCACUACCUUUUCCUUCAUAGAGGUACACAAGGCCCUUCAUACAGAUAUAUUUGGGAUAUAUAAACCUCCAGAGGGGUUUAUUAGGUCCUGCAGAUGACUGCUGUCAUCUCAGGAGACAUGCAAGGGAGGCAGCAAGCAAAGAAGCAGCUUCCAUAUGUGGUCUAAAAGCACACCCUGGAGAUGCCAGGGCUCUGUCAUGAGGCCAAGGUGGAUUCUUUCACUUCCCACAAGGAACAGCACUUGUGCAGCACACUCACCAAUGUAGUUCACACAGUCAGACAGACUCCGAGAAGCAAAGGGGCCAUCGUAGACAGUUUUGCUUUUAUCAAACAAAUAGACCAUGUAGCUGUCCCAGCCUCUCUGGGGAGAACAAGAGAACAAAAUAUAAAACAGAGAAACCCCAAACAGCUCCUACUAACCCAGAGAGUCCUGGUUAUAUCAUGAACUACUCAUUGUGGGCACUCUCUUCUUAUAAAGUGCCUUAAAACUGAUUUUAUUGAUCCCACAGAAAGAAAGGAUGCUUUGCUAACAAUUACUUGAGUAUUUAGGCAGAAUUUAACUACAGAAAUCUGCUUACAUUACCCAGUAAAAGGCCUUAAGAGUUACUACACUUCCAGAGCAAAUUACCUCCUGUGGGAGAAGGUUCAGGCAAUGUAUCUUCCCUAAGAUUGUCAAUUCCCUGAGGACGGGAAAGACAUGAAACGAACAGCAUGAUUCUUACCACGCCAUCAAUAACACACUGGGAAGCAGGUUUCCGAGGGUCCAGGCAAAUCCCUGUUUCCAACAGCAGUUCCUGAUUUCCAGUGCUUAUCCCAGUCUCAAACUCAAUCCGAUUCUGAAGGGAAUGAAGGCUUUCCUCGGGAUGCAAAAGAAAGGACACGAUCUUGGCAGAGGUCAUGUUUAGGAUGUGCACUAUCUGUAAGAACAGUACAAGGAGAUUACAAGUCCCUGGAUAUCAGAGCCAAAGGAAGCCUGGGAAGUUUUGGGAAGGAGCACAUAGGAAUGAACAUGUCAGAACUAGAGCAUCAUUUCAGUUUCAAUGACUGCAAUCAUCAGUUCAGGAGUAAAGUCCCACAUAACAAACUCAAAGCCCAGGCCUGUAACUCCUAAUGUCAGAGAAAAUGACAAUCAAAUAGCCUUCAAAAGCCAUCAAAAGAACAGGGACAAAAACACCCUCCUGCUUCUACACAUGCUUGCCUCAGCUAGUCUUACUCCAGCAGAGCUCCAGUAAUGACUCCAAGGGGAAAAGUCAGGUGAAUGCCACCUCUGUUCUACUCCAGGUACUACUACUAUAGUACAUCAGUACACCUGGAGUCACAGCACCAACAGGGAAGUUCAGGAAAACUGCUACUAGUAAAUAUUAAACCCUGAUUUGAUCUUGGUGAGCCCUUUCCAAGAUGACAGACAGUAAUAGAGGGUCAUCCUUCUACUCCAAGUGUAAAACUAGAGAUUAAUACUGCAGGUGAUAUUUUGCCUUCCAGAUGUACCAGACAGACUGCGUUUGCAUUUGCUUCCUGAAAAACAUUCCUCGUGACCCUGCAGCUGGAUGAAGCCAGGAUUACAGCUUUGCUGCACUGAGCACCCUUCCUGUCCUCUGGGAUGAUUUCAGAAGGCCUUUAAACCCAGUACCAACCCUCGCUCACCUUCAAAUUCAGGAUGUGAUCCAUUAUUAGGAAACACCUUGGACGACCGGUCUCGGGAUCUGAACCUCCACCCCUCUGCUGUGGAUCCCAAUUCAGCAUCAGUUGCAACCAAUUUUCCAUGGGUUCUACAAUCAAACUGAAGCAGAGGGGCUGUAAGGAAGGGAAGGCAGAUAUUCUCUUCACCAGACUGAGGCAGCUCAACUUCCUGGGCCUCUUCUUGAGUGCUCUAUUCAACAGGCUCUGCCCAUCUUUGUGGCCUGCCCUGCACUUGCAGCAGUUUUCCCAACACAGCCUCUGCUUCCAUGGAGAAACUCCCUCGAGUUCUUGGUUCAUGAGAUUCAAUACCAUCAAGUUAUCAGGUAGAUGUUACUCACUGGCCUUGUGGUAAAGGGCAGAAAGCAGACACAGAGUUCUGGGCUGCCAUCAACCCACGAACUGGGCACAGGAGAGCCCAAAACACCAAAAAAAGAGCCACGUGGGCUAUUCCUUAACAGCAAACAGCAGCUUGCCAGGAGCUUUCAACGCUCCUGAGGAGGAAGAUGGAGGAGCCCUCAGUGCUUGGGAGGAAGGAGGGAGAGCCCUCAGUUCACAGGAACAAAGUGGUCACCUGUGCUAGGGACACACUCACCCACAGAGGCUGUGGGGCUGCGGCAGGUGGGUGCUGAACCGAACCUCCCCGUUCAUCUCCUCGGAGGCAAAGAUGUGCUUCGGGUCCUUCUUCUUGAUUUUUUCAUGCCUGCAAAACAAAAUCCUCUGUGGACAUGCUGGCAGUGUUACUUUUGUCAGGGGGCAGUUGAAUAUGACAGCAGCAAAAAGUGCCAGUGUCCAGCAGCUUCAGGAAACAAACUCGGAACAGAAACCUGAGUUUCCUGUUUUCUGCCUCUGACACACAGACUGGUUUAUAACUGUAUUUUUUUGAUUGAAAUUUUGCUUGUGAAGGAGUUACCAUGACCAGAGGCAUGACCACACAACAUACAAGCACCUCCCCAAGAAUAAGUGUCUUACCAGGUGAACGGCUGUAGAUUAUGUAAGAAAGGUCUAAAUCCUGCAAUGCAUUCAAACACCAUCGUCCCAAAGCUCCAGUAAUCAACAGUAACCGAGUAGGAUUUAUUCUCAAAGAGUUCUGGAGCCUAAAAAGGAUCAUAAAAAGACACUUUGACCGUGGUAUUUCCUUGCAUUUCUGCAGAGGCAAAGCUGUGUCCAGGUGUGGCUCCAGCUCCAGCUUCAGCUGUCCAGUGGGUCAGGGCCUGGAGCAGCCAACCCAUGAGAUGGGAGGGACUGGACUUGUUGGGUCUGGCUGGGGGGUGAGAGCAGCCCCCAGUCGUGGCACAGGAAGGGAUGGAUGGGAUCAAACUCCCCUUGGAAGCCACACGUGAUGCAACAAGGGGCAACAGCCCCAGACAACCAUCUGGGAGGUUCACAAUGCACAUGAGGAAAGGACACCCUGGGGACAGCUCCCCAGGAUCUCCAUUUUUGGAGGUUUCGGGGCUUGGCUGGGCCAAGCUCUAGAGCUGGUGACACUGAAAAAAAAAGUCUUACCAAAUAUUGUAAUGUUCCAACAAACGAAGUGCAUAAACUUCCUUGAUCCAGAUCCUUUGCAUAUCCCAGGUCUAUUAUUUUGUGGACAAUCUGCAGACAGUUUUAACAGUUCAUCAGAAGAGCAAAUGCCAAGAAAAAAACAACCAAACAACCCAAAAUCUGCACAGUGACAGCAUACAAUCCACAGCAUACAAUCAAGAAGAGGAAAGAAUGGAAAUUCUGGAGAAAGUCUGUGGCAAGUCUUCAACACGUGACAGUGUUAAAGCUGACAGUAAAUUCACAGCUGAGUUUUCAGUCCAGUUCAGUGUGACAACUCCCAGAAAUGACAAUGGAGACACCACUGACAGAGGCCACCUGACUUACCUUCCCACCUUCAUCCUGAAGAACAAUAUUUUCAGGCUUUAAAUCUCUGUGUAUAAUUCUGUUUUCAUGCAAAUACUGGAUACCAGAACCUGAAAGACACAUUUGAUUUAACUGAAAAUAAACUCACAUUGAUUAAA